GCUGGGUGAGGUAGUGCACACCUGUAUUCCCAGAUGCUUGGGAAGUUGAAACAGAAGGAUCACUUGAGCCCAGGAGUUCAAGACCAGCCUGGGCAACAUAGCAAACCUUGUUUCAA
rnacentral:sRNA from 1 species